rnacentral:rRNA from 1 species
GAUAACUACUGGAAACGGUAGCUAAUACCGCAUAAUGUCGCAAGACCAAAGAGGGGGACCUUCGGGCCUCUUGCCAUCGGAUGUGCCCAGAUGGGAUUAGCUUGUUGGUGGGGUAACGGCUCACCAAGGCGACGAUCCCUAGCUGGUCUGAGAGGAUGACCAGCCACACUGGAACUGAGACACGGUCCAGACUCCUACGGGAGGCAGCAGUGGGGAAUAUUGCACAAUGGGCGCAAGCCUGAUGCAGCCAUGCCGCGUGUAUGAAGAAGGCCUUCGGGUUGUAAAGUACUUUCAGCGGGGAGGAAGGGAGUAAAGUUAAUACCUUUGCUCAUUGACGUUACCCGCAGAAGAAGCACCGGCUAACUCCGUGCCAGCAGCCGCGGUAAUACGGAGGGUGCAAGCGUUAAUCGGAAUUACUGGGCGUAAAGCGCACGCAGGCGGUUUGUUAAGUCAGAUGUGAAAUCCCCGGGCUCAACCUGGGAACUGCAUCUGAUACUGGCAAGCUUGAGUCUCGUAGAGGGGGGUAGAAUUCCAGGUGUAGCGGUGAAAUGCGUAGAGAUCUGGAGGAAUACCGGUGGCGAAGGCGGCCCCCUGGACGAAGACUGACGCUCAGGUGCGAAAGCGUGGGGAGCAAACAGGAUUAGAUACCCUGGUAGUCCACGCCGUAAACGAUGUCGACUUGGAGGUUGUGCCCUUGAGGCGUGGCUUCCGGAGCUAACGCGUUAAGUCGACCGCCUGGGGAGUACGGCCGCAAGGUUAAAACUCAAAUGAAUUGACGGGGGCCCGCACAAGCGGUGGAGCAUGUGGUUUAAUUCGAUGCAACGCGAAGAACCUUACCUGGUCUUGACAUCCACGGAAGUUUUCAGAGAUGAGAAUGUGCCUUCGGGAACCGUGAGACAGGUGCUGCAUGGCUGUCGUCAGCUCGUGUUGUGAAAUGUUGGGUUAAGUCCCGCAACGAGCGCAACCCUUAUCCUUUGUUGCCAGCGGUCCGGCCGGGAACUCAAAGGAGACUGCCAGUGAUAAACUGGAGGAAGGUGGGGAUGACGUCAAGUCAUCAUGGCCCUUACGACCAGGGCUACACACGUGCUACAAUGGCGCAUACAAAGAGAAGCGACCUCGCGAGAGCAAGCGGACCUCAUAAAGUGCGUCGUAGUCCGGAUUGGAGUCUGCAACUCGACUCCAUGAAGUCGGAAUCGCUAGUAAUCGUGGAUCAGAAUGCCACGGUGAAUACGUUCCCGGGCCUUGUACACACCGCCCGUCACACCAUGGGAGUGGGUUGCAAAAGAAGUAGGUAGCUUAACCUUCGGGAGGGCGCUUACCACUUUGUGAUUCAUGACUGGGGUGAAGUCGUAACAAGGUAACCGUAGGGGAACCUGCGGUUGGAUCAC